ensembl:processed_transcript si:ch1073-325m22.2 si:ch1073-325m22.2
GUCAGUGUUGUCUAGUGGACUGAAGAUGGAGACGGGGCUCAAAACAUCUGAAUCAGACCCCUCUGUUCAUCAGCUGCCAACAAACAGUGUGAUAUUUAUUUCAGGAGCUUUGGAUUGAUUUGCCCUGGUGAUCCUUCAGUGUGGAUGUACACUCACUGAUGUCCAACAAUCAACAUUGGCUGAUGGAAAAGCAGGAGGUUUUUAUUCGACAGCAUCACUGUUUGAUUCCUCUGAAUCCUCCUGGAGUAAAUACACCGUCAAUCAUUCUCUCGUUAUGAAUAACCUCUGCGCGGACCUGAGCUCUGUUUGAUCGCUCUGUUGUGUUUUCCGUGUCAUCUGCAGGUUGAUGCGGUGCUUUAAUAAAGUACUUUAAUGUGA